rnacentral:rRNA from 1 species
CCUACGGGAGGCAGCAGUGAGGAAUAUUGGUCAAUGGGCGCGAGCCUGAACCAGCCAAGCCGCGUGAGGGAUGAAGGUACAGAGUAUCGUAAACCUCUUUUGUCAGGGAACAAAGGCGGGGACGUGUCCCCGGAUGAGUGUACCUGAAGAAAAAGCAUCGGCUAACUCCGUGCCAGCAGCCGCGGUAAUACGGAGGAUGCGAGCGUUAUCCGGAUUUAUUGGGUUUAAAGGGUGCGCAGGCGGUCUGUUAAGUCAGCGGUCAAAGCCCGGGGCUCAACCCCGGCCCGCCGUUGAAACUGGCAGUCUCGAGUUGGAGAGAAGUAUGCGGAAUGCGCGGUGUAGCGGUGAAAUGCAUAGAGAUCGCGCAGAACUCCGAUUGCGAAGGCAGCAUGCCGGCUCCACACUGACGCUGAGGCACGAAAGCGUGGGUAUCGAACAGGAUUAGAUACCCCUGUAGUC